UACGAAGGGGGCUAGCGUUGUUCGGAAUCACUGGGCGUAAAGGGCGCGUAGGCGGCUUUGGUAAGUCGGGGGUGAAAGCCUGUGGCUCAACCACAGAAUUGCCUUCGAUACUGCAUGGCUUGAGACCGGAAGAGGUAAGUGGAACUGCGAGUGUAGAGGUGAAAUUCGUAGAUAUUCGCAAGAACACCAGUGGCGAAGGCGGCUUACUGGUCCGGUUCUGACGCUGAGGCGCGAAAAGCGUGGGGAGCAAACAGG
rnacentral:rRNA from 1 species